rnacentral:tRNA from 1 species
GGAGAGAUGGCUGAGUGGAUUAAAGCGUCGGAUUGCUAAUCCGUUGUACGAGCUAUUCGUACCGAGGGUUCGAAUCCCUCUCUUUC